CGAUUCUUCUUAUUGGUGUUGAUAGAUUUAUAGCUAUUACUCGUCCGUUGAGAUAUCAUGUUUUGGUUACUGGUAAAGUAGUUUGGUUUGGAGUAACACUAGCUUGGAGUACAGCACUGAUUCUUAGUGUUGGACAUUAUUUGAGUUACAAAAGAGUGCUGCUGAAUAUUCAUAAAAACUACGAGUUUUCUCUAUCAUGCUUAUCCAUUGGACAUAUGGUUGCAAUGUCGAUAAUUUACACUGUAAUACUUAAGGCUGCAAGAAAGCAAGUUAAGUCUGCAUUUUUGCUCCAGACAAGCUGUAGGAAUGCAGAUUCCGGCUCAUCAUUCACUUUGCAUUAUAGGAAAAGUGCUUACACUACGUUUUGUAUUGUAUGUCUAUUCUACGCGACGUUCAUGCCAUAUUCUGUGUAUAGAAUUAUAACACAUUUUGAUGAUACUAUAACUAAGACAUCAAAACGUAUAACAUGGCGCUGGUUGAUGUCCUUUACGUUCUUAAAUUCUUGUCUCAAUCCCUAUAUAUACUUUUUUGGGAUGAGGAAAUUUAGAUAUACAUUUAAAAGUUUGCUGAACAUGUAUACCAAGACUGCAAAUACUACUCUCUAAGCUGAAGCUGUAAAAUUUAGUUAAACCUGUAAAUUUCUUUUUGUGCAAAUGUUUUUUUAUACUCGUGCUGCCCUUACCAAAAUUGAACUGUAUAACAUCUUGAUUUGGUUUCCGCUUCUUCAUUUUCGUUCACG